UUAGCAGGACUGUGAAGAACUUGGCUGCACCGAGGAGGUAAAUCAACCAUUUGAAUGAGGUGUGUCGAACGGGGACAAGGACCUGUGCAUCUUGAAACGCUUCACCUGCGAGGCUGGGGGUGAUUUCUUUGUGGUCACAUGGUGGAGCCAGAGGAUCAGCUUUAGACAAGCAGCGGGAUCUGGUCUGCAUGCGUGCCGCCCUCUUACUGAACUGACCUUUUCAGAUUGACAGAUCACUCGCAGGGAACAAACAACGCCGCUCGGGAACGCCGGACCCUUGGUUGCCAGGCAACCACACACUGACUUGAUGGAGUGGAAGCAACUUCAGAGGCCUCUGUGAGCACAGCAUCAAGGUUGCUAUUAAACUCAAGUCUCAACCCUUCACACAUACACAUGCAAAUAAGACAAACAAAUCUGAGGGCGUGUGCUAAAACCAAAUAAAAUUCAGAAGCUUCUUUUAGUGAAACGACUGCAAACUCAGGGCUGCAACUUUACCGUAGCUCUCUGUCCAGGUCAGAUGUGUGCGUUCUCCACCUAUACUCGGGUUUUUUUUAUUUUUUAUAAAUUGUACAGGAAGUACUGUUUCCUUCCUGUAAGCAACGGGUGUGACUAUGAUAAUAACAGGGGCACAUAUUAAUUAAAGGGAGAAGAAACACUCAAAUUGUCCACUUACACAAGAAGCUGACAAGUAAGACAACUGUGGGUGGCUUCAAGUCUUCGGUUGAAUGAGUUUUUCUGACCAGAUGUUCAUGUGUGCAUACUUGCAUUUUAGUGUAACCACCUUAUAUUAAGUCUAUUGCUAAACUUGUUCUCAAAGUCGUAUGAAAGCGUCAGUGUGGGCCUCAAAUGUUCUUCUGACUGAGAAGCACUUUGGGCUACAUUAACUCAAUAAAAGCAGCAACUAAAAGCAUUGUAUGUUUGAUGAAAGAUGAAAAUCGUGCAACCUGUUGUUGCUAAAUAGAGAAAAUAAUUAAAUAAUAAUACUAAGAUCAAGGUCAUUUCUUUGUUUGGACUCCUAUAUUCCUGAAACUCACUUUGCUGUCAACAGCCCUGUUCCAAAAAUCCUAAAUGUAAAAAAUGUCUGCCACUAAUUAUAUCAAAAUUUUGCAGCAAUUUAAAAGUGGCCAGCAUAGAACUGGUCAAUUAAUAGGAGUUAAAUGGAAAUAGUCAAUGGAUGGACUUG